CUAGCUGAAAGAAGAAAUAAUAAUGAAAAAAUAUUAAAUAAAUUUUUGAAAUUUAUUUUCAUGAUAAAAGUAUAAAAAAUUCAAUAAUAUUAAUCAUGAAUAUGAAUCAAUUACUAAAAAGAAAUGUCAAAUGAUAUACUUAUUGUAUUUAAAUGACGUUGGUUAUAUACUUAAAAACCAAAAAAAAAAUUAACCAAAACACUAAUCUAUCAAAUAUACAAUCAAAGAUCUUAUAAUGAAUAUUACUUAAAAAGGAUCUAUUCUUUUUUCACUCACUGUCCUUGGAAGAAGGUAUAUUCAUAGAAGCAUAUAGGAGCCAGAAGGCUAUUAAAAUUACUCCAAUUGCAUUAAAUGCCCCUUUUGAGGGUGAAGAGGAUAACUACGUAUUCCCGUUUACGGACUGAAAUGAAAUCAAUAUGGUAUACGUGCGAAGCGCAGACAGACUCGCAAAGGACCCAGAAAUAACAUGUUUGUUGCUAAACGCCCGUCGUGCCGGGAAAAUGAUUUACCACUUAUUUGCCUCGCCAUGGAUCCUUUUUUAUUUUCAAUAAUAAAACUUUUCAUUGAUUGGUUGAUAAGAUUAUUUUAGCAAAAAAUAUGUUUUUUUAAUACAAAGAUGCAUUUUGUUCAUGUUCUUCACUAAAUAUAUAUAUAUUAUUAUUAAUGGAUUUCAAAUCAUAAUAAUUUUAGCGAUUUGUAAUCAUAUGAACAUAAUAUAACGGGUGUGUGAUAAGUAUCAUAGAUCGAAUAGACAGAUUAUUCUGGAUCGAAUGGUUCUUGCUUUGGAAUGGCGAGAGAGAAUCAAUGGCGGCUAUUUUGAGAGGUUUCGGCGUUGGCGAUGUCGUCGUCGAGAACGUUCCUACGUCUUCAAACAUGCCAAUGGUGUUCGAAGAUUACAAAUAUAAUUUUAUCAUAUAUAUUUUAUAUAGAAAAAAAUUAUUUAUUAAAAAUAUUUUUUAAAUAUUAUUUUAGAGUAUAAAUAUAAUGAUUAAUAUUAGAUUUAAUAUUAUAAAUUUUUAACAUAAAUUCUUUUCUUUUUAACAUAAAUGAAUAAAAUCUAAAAUAUGAUAAAAAUCAUUCUUUUGAUAUAGAAUUCGUCUGAUUCUUUUAUCAUAAAAAAUUAAAAAAAUAUCUUAUCUUAGAAAAAUUAUUAUUGUUAUUAGCUAUUUUUUCUUAUUUUCUCUAUAUUAUAGAUAUUGAUAUAUAUAAAUAUAGAGAUUUAUAGAAAUUAAUACGAAAAUAUAAUUGGGAAAUUUUUUUUGACGAAAAGAAUUUAAGACAUUUCUUUAAAAUAUUUAUUGUUAUUAAAACAAAUAAUAUAUUCAUCGUUAUUAUUUUUCUAAUACUUGAGUAUAUCAAAAAAUUUAUUGUUAAUUUUAUAAUUUAAAUAAUUUAUAAUUUAAAUAAGAAUUUCUUUCAGUUUUUUCUAUUGACGAGCUAUUUUCAUAUAAUGAUUUAUAAAAUUCAUCACAUAUGGAAAGAGAUGAUACUUGGAAAGUGAUCUUUUUCUUCAUUGUUCAGAACCGUCGGAUCGUUAAUUAUUCCUCUCGUUUUUUUUUUUGAAAAAUAUCAUUCAUGAAACAAUAAUAAACAUUCAUGAAAAAUAAAUUGAUUUAAUUAAUAUUUGAAUAAAAUAUUGUAUCAUAUGAAGAUCAUAUUAUAUAGAUCCUAGAUAAAAAUAAAGAUAUGAUUGUAAUUGUA